GAUGAACGCUGGCGGCGUGCUUAACACAUGCAAGUCGAACGAAGCAUUUAAGACAGAUUACUUCGGUUUGAAGUCUUUUAUGACUGAGUGGCGGACGGGUGAGUAACGCGUGGGUAACCUGCCUCAUACAGGGGGAUAGCAGCUGGAAACGGCUGGUAAUACCGCAUAAGCGCACAGUACCACAUGGUCCAGUGUGAAAAACUCCGGUGGUAUGAGAUGGACCCGCGUCUGAUUAGCUUGUUGGCGGGGUAACGGCCCACCAAGGCGACGAUCAGUAGCCGACCUGAGAGGGUGACCGGCCACAUUGGGACUGAGACACGGCCCAGACUCCUACGGGAGGCAGCAGUGGGGAAUAUUGCACAAUGGAGGAAACUCUGAUGCAGCGACGCCGCGUGAGUGAAGAAGUAGUUCGCUAUGUAAAGCUCUAUCAGCAGGGAAGAUAGUGACGGUACCUGACUAAGAAGCUCCGGCUAAAUACGUG
rnacentral:rRNA from 1 species